rnacentral:rRNA from 1 species
UACGUAGGGAGCAAGCGUUGUUCGGAUUUACUGGGCGUAAAGGGCGCGUAGGCGGCAUGACAAGUCACUUGUGAAAUCUCUGGGCUUAACCCAGAACGGCCAAGUGAUACUGUCGCGCUAGAGUGCGGAAGGGGCAAUCGGAAUUCUCGGUGUAGCGGUGAAAUGCGUAGAUAUCGAGAGGAACACCUGAGGUGAAGACGGGUUGCUGGGCCGACACUGACGCUGAGUGCGCGAAAGCCAGGGGAGCAAACAGG